rnacentral:lncRNA from 10 species
ACAUCUUAUUGAACAUUUAAAUGCAGAGAUAGUACUGCAUACCAUUGCGGAUGUGAAUAUUGCUUUGGAAUGAAUACGAUCAACUUUGCUUUAUAUCAGAGCCUUGAAAAAUCCAUCUCAUUAUGGUUUUGCAUCUGGAUUGAACAAAGAUGGAAUUGAAGCAAAAUUACAAGAAUUAUGUUUGAAGAAUCUGAAUGAUUUAUCAUCCCUGGACUUAAUAAAGAUGGAUGAAGGUGUUAAUUUCAAACCAACUGGUAAUUCUCUAUCAUUGUCAGUAAAUUUAGCAAUUGUUUACUUAAGACUAAAUUAAAAUUUUGUUUUACUAAAGUUUAGAUGAUGAUAAGUAAAUUGUGAUCUCAGUUCUCAACAGGGUAUCAUCAUUAUUAGCCGUAGGCAUGAUAAAUUUAAACAAGUCCUAUUUGUAGAAGGACAGUUUCUUUUUGACAGGUGCACAGAAUUUGUCUUCAUUGAUUCUGGUGACUUCUGGCAGAGGAACGAAAUGCUUGAAUCUUUGGGUUGCUUUAGGCCUCUUAUAAC